rnacentral:lncRNA from 1 species
ACAACAUCCUAGAGACAGAGAAAGAGAAUGGAAUUGGGAAUUCUGUUGGAAAUUCUGAUAAUGAUUUAUACUGUUGUAUUAUAAUUAAUUGUUUACAGCUCUAGGUUACCCAUUAGACCAAGUCCUCCAUGAACCCAUACUUGUUGAGCUCAACCUAUGUGUCAGGCCUUGCUAUAGGCACUAAAGUAGUGAAUUAAACAAAGUGCUGCCCUCAUAGGGCUUACAAUAGGGUGGGGGGACAUGGGCAUAAAGACGUAAACAAAUAUAUAAAAGGAAAGUACUCAUGAAAGCAGAAAAAAAGAAAAUGAGGAUGAUGCGGAAACAAAGGCAAAAGAAAAACUUAAAUUUCCUUACAACUUCCAGCCCACUGACAGGCAGAGUGACCUUCCUCUAGAAACUCAACUGCCUUGAUGUUGUUGAUACUUUGCUAAGGGCACAAGGCAAUCCUAGAUUAACAUUAUCCCAACGUCCAGGAUCCUGUAAGUCUACUUUAACAUAUAAAAAUUCCUUUGGAAACUUCUUUUAUCUCCACCCCCCAAGAUACAGGUUGAUAAUCAUCCUCCAAGCAUAUGGCCCCCUGAUAUUCAUCUGAAGGGUCUCAUGACUGAGUUUUUACUGAACAGUAGUAAGUGACCUUUUCCUAACAGCAGCUAGCCCCUCAAGGUUCUAGAAACCUUGUUUCCAAAAUACCUUAGAGAUUUACACUCUCCCUAAUCCCCUCCAGACCUGAAGGUAUAUAAUCAGUCACUCCUCACAACUCCAGUGCAGCUCGUUUUGCCCACAGGUCCUAUCCCCAUGCUUUAAUAAAACGUUCUUUUUGCAUCAAGGAUGUCUCAAGCGUUCUUGGCUGUCAUCUUCGAACCCCAACACUCCAAACCACAUCAAAGACACCAGGGUGGAGGAGCACAGAAGUUGAGGAUAUCUGCUAAAAGUAGGGAAGGCAGAGCUGAGCAGAAAAUUCAAUAAGAGAAACAAAUGUUUGGAAAGUCACAGUGGGGAAUCACAUAAAUAAGAGAAAGGAUAAGAACCAUAGGAUCAUUUCAAUAGAAGAAGAAAAAGCAUUUGACAAAGUACAACUUCCAUUUGUGAUAAAAAAAAAAAAAACCUCAACAAAGGGAGUUUAGAGGGAACAUACCUUAACAUAAAUAAAGGCCAUAUAUGAAAAACCCA